rnacentral:rRNA from 1 species
AACGGACGUCCCAGUUCGGAUUGCAGCCUGCAACUCGGCUGCAUGAAGCUGGAAUCGCUAGUAAUCGCGGAUCAGAAUGCCGCGGUGAAUACGUUCCCGGGUCUUGUACACACCGCCCGUCACACCAUGAGAGUUGGGAAUACCCGAAGCCUGUGAGCUAACGAAAGAGGCAGCAGUCGAAGGUAGAAUCAAUGAUUGGGGUGAAGUCGUAACAAGGUACC